rnacentral:rRNA from 1 species
CCUACGGGGCGCAGCAGUCGAGAAUCAUUCACCAUGGGGGAAACCCUGAUGGUGCGACGCCGCGUGGGGGAAUGAAGGUCUUCGGAUUGUAAACCCCUGUCAUGUGGGAGCAAAUUAAAAAGAUAGUACCACAAGAGGAAGAGACGGCUAACUCUGUGCCAGCAGCCGCGGUAAUACAGAGGUCUCAAGCGUUGUUCGGAAUCACUGGGCGUAAGGCGUGCGUAGGCUGUUUCGUAAGUCGUGUGUGAAAGGCGCGGGCUCAACCCGCGGACGGCACAUGAUACUGCGAGACUAGAGUAAUGGAGGGGGAACCGGAAGUCUCGGGGUAGCAGUGAAAUGCGUAGAUAUCGAGAGGAACACUCGUGGCGAAGGCGGGUUCCUGGACAUUAACUGACGCUGAGGCACGAAGGCCAGGGGAGCGAAAGGGAUUAGAUACCCUUGUAGUC